GGGUCAGUAGGUUGGUCGUGCCACCGGUACGUACUGGUCUCACUGAUUCCUCCUUCCUGAAGAACCGUAAUGCCAUUAAUUGGGUGUUGCGGGGAAACAGGACUGUUACUUUGAAAAAAUUAGAGUGUUUAAAGCAUGCUAACGCUUGAAUACAUUAGCAUGGAAUAAUGAAAGAGGACGAUCGAUCCUAUUUUGUUGGUUUCUAGGAUUGACGUA
rnacentral:rRNA from 1 species